UACGGGGGGGGCAAGCGUUGUUCGGAAUUACUGGGCGUAAAGGGCUCGUAGGUGGCCAACUAAGUCGGACGUGAAAUCCCUCGGCUUAACCGGGGAACUGCGUCCGAUACUGGUUGGCUUGAGUUUGGGAGAGGGAUGCGGAAUUCCAGGUGCAGCGGUGAAAUGCGUAGAUAUCUGGAGGAAUACCGGUGGCGAAGGCGGCAUCCUGGACCGGCAUUGACGCUGAGGAGCGAAAGCUAGGGGAGCAAACGGG
rnacentral:rRNA from 1 species